rnacentral:rRNA from 1 species
GAUGAACGCUAGCGGCAGGCUUAAUACAUGCAAGUCGUGGGGCAGCAUGAAGUAGCAAUACUUUGAUGGCGACCGGCAAACGGGUGCGGAACACGUACACAACCUUCCUUUUAGUGGGGAAUAGCCCAGAGAAAUUUGGAUUAGUACCCCGUAACAUAGCGAUGAGGCAUCUCAUUGCUAUUAUAGCUUCGGCGCUAGAUGAUGGGUGUGCGUAUGAUUAGAUAGUUGGCGAAGUAACGGCUCACCAAGUCUACGAUCAUUAGCUGAUGUGAGAGCAUGAUCAGCCACACGGGCACUGAGACACGGGCCCGACUCCUACGGGAGGCAGCAGUAAGGAAUAUUGGUCAAUGGACGAAAGUCUGAACCAGCCAUGCCGCGUGAAGGAUUAAGGUCCUCUGGAUUGUAAACUUCUUUUAUAUGGGACGAAAAAAGGUCUUUCUAGAUCACUUGACGGUACCAUAUGAAUAAGCACCGGCUAACUCCGUGCCAGCAGCCGCCGUAAAAC